rnacentral:rRNA from 1 species
UACGGGGGGGGCAAGCGUUGUUCGGAAUUACUGGGCGUAAAGGGCGCGUAGGCGGUCUACUAAGUUGGAUGUGAAAACUCUGGGCUUAACCCAGAGCCUGCAUUCAAAACUGAUAGGCUGGAGUUCUGGAGGGGAUAGCGGAAUUCCUGGUGUAGCGGUGAAAUGCGUAGAUAUCAGGAGGAACACUGGUGGCGAAGGUGGCUAUCUGGACAGAAACUGACGCUGAGGCGCGAAAGCUAGGGGAGCAAACAGG